rnacentral:misc_RNA from 1 species
GAUGAAGAACGUAGCGAAAUGCGAUAAGUAAUGUGAAUUGCAGAAUUCAGUGAAUCAUCGAAUCUUUGAACGCACAUUGCGCCCGCCAGCACUCUGGCGGGCAUGCCUGUUCGAGCGUCAUUUCAACCAUCAAGCCCCCAGGGGCUUGUGCUGGGGCCCUGCGGCUGCCGCAGGCCCCUAAAAGCAGUGGCGGGCUCGCUAUCACACCGAGUGCAGUAGAUUACUCUUCGCUCAGGGCGUGUGGCGGGUUCCAGCCGUGAAACCCCCUACUUCUCAAGGUUGACCUCGGAUCAGGUAGGAAUACCCGCUGAACUUAAGCAUAUCAAUAAGCGGAGGA